ACGAACGCUGGCGGCGUGCUUAACACAUGCAAGUCGAACGGAAAGGCCCUGCUUUUGUGGGGUGCUCGAGUGGCGAACGGGUGAGUAACACGUGAGUAACCUGCCCUUGACUUUGGGAUAACUUCAGGAAACUGGGGCUAAUACCGGAUAGGAGCUCCUGCUGCAUGGUGGGGGUUGGAAAGUUUCGGCGGUUGGGGAUGGACUCGCGGCUUAUCAGCUUGUUGGUGGGGUAGUGGCUUACCAAGGCUUUGACGGGUAGCCGGCCUGAGAGGGUGACCGGCCACAUUGGGACUGAGAUACGGCCCAGACUCCUACGGGAGGCAGCAGUGGGGAAUAUUGCACAAUGGGCGGAAGCCUGAUGCAGAAACGCCGCGUGCGGGAUGACGGCCUUCGGGUUGUAAACCGCUUUCGCCUGUGACGAAGCGUGGGUGACGGUAAUGGGUAAAGAAGCACCGGCUAACUACGUG
rnacentral:rRNA from 1 species